rnacentral:sRNA from 1 species
GCUGGGCAUGGUGGUGCACAUCUGUAAUCCCAGCAGCUUGGGAGGCUGAGGCAGGAGGAUCACGAGUUCAAAGCCAGCCUCAGCAACUUUGUGAAGCUCUAAGCAACUCAGUGAGACUCUGUCUCUA